rnacentral:lncRNA from 1 species
UGGGAACCUCCAUAUGCCGAGGGAGAGGCACAAAGAAAUAGCAAAAAGACAAAAAAAAAAAAAAAAAAAGUACAUGUAAAAAACUUCCAGUGCUUACCUAGGAUACAGCGAGCCUACUGUAAAUGGUGGUGAUUGGUUGUUACACAUCUUCUUUUCUCCCCCCUUCACUCCCCAAGUUCUAUCCAUAGUUUCUGGUAAGAUAUGCUUAAAAGUAGAAGCCCCUAGAGGUUCUGUUGUGGCAGAGUGGGUUAAGGACCUGACGUCAUCUCUGUGGCCUUGCUCAGUGGGUUAAGGAUCCGGUUUUGCUGCAAGCUGCACGUAGGUCAUAGAUGUGGCUCAGAUCUGGUGUUGCUGUGGCUGUGGUGUAGGUUGCAGCUACAGCUGCGAUUCAGCCCCUAGCACUGGGAACUUCAUAUGCUGCAGGUGCAGCCAUAAAAAGAAAAAAAAAGUAGAAGCCCCAUAAUAAAUGUUUAUUGUAGGUCUUACCUUGCACUGAUGGCUGAUAUCAGGAGUGAAAAAUUGGUACCCUCACCCUGAAGAUGCUUUGUGCAGUGUUUGUUUUUUUAAUUAAAUAGUGUCUUCUGUGGGUCAGCCACUUCUCAGUUCACACAGUACUCCCUAUCCUCUAUUGUUUUAUAUGCCAUUACCUGACUUACCCUGGGAGGAAAAUCUGCUCUCCUCGCACUCACUCGUCUUUCCCUUAUAUACUCCCGGCUAUCACAGCUGGGCAUAUCUUGGCUUCCUUUGGCUUUUCCCCAGGAAUAUCUUUCUUUAUGGUUAAAAUAUACAUAGCAUGAAAUUUACCAUUUAAACCGUCUUUGAGUGUAUAAUUCAGUGGCAUUAGGUACAUUCACAAUAUGGUCCAGCCAUCACCACUGUCCAUUUUCAGAACUUUUCCACUGUCUCAAAUAGAAACUCUGCCUGUCCCUGUUCAACUCCACAUUCCCCCCUCCCCUCAGCCUCCAGUAACCAUUGUUUGACUUUCUGUCUCUAUGAAUUUGCCUCUUCUAACUAUACCUCAUGCAAGUGGAAUUAUACAGUGUCUGUCCUUCCGUGUCUGGCUUCUUUCAUGUAGCAUAAUGUUUUCAUUUUGUGGCAUGUGUCAGAAUUUCACUCAUUUUAAUAGCUGAAUAAUAUUCUAUGGUAUAGAUAUACCACGUAUUGUUUAUCCAUUCAUCCGUCAGUGGACAUUCAGGUUGUUCUGCUGGGAAUAUUGUGAGGCCCAUGGUGCUGCCUCAUCCCAGUCCUCUAAAUCAGACCAUUUUCCCUUCUUGAAACUCCUUUGUCUGCCUCAAAGUCUUAUCCUGAGUGAUGGAAAUAUUGGGGAAGGAGCAGAGAGUGAGGUCACAGACCAUGUAAGUGUGAAAGUGAUCUUUAUUUCUUUUUGCAAACAAAUGUAUGAUUUUAAAAACUACUCCUAGUUAAUACUUUUAAUCAUGCUGUAGGCUUCACUUUUUUUUUUUAGCUGAUUUUAUAUGUUUUUCAAUACUUUUGACUGUUACAAAUAGCUUUUUGGUUAUCAUUUAGAAAGUUGGUUGUAGGAGAUACACAGAACCCUUCAAUGCUCUACUUCUGCUGACUUGUGACAUGUAUGAUUUUGUUUGGGAUUUAACUUCUGAAUUUGGGAGGUUGCAUAUCUCAUGUCUUUGAGUAUUUUAAGUUUUUCCAGGGAGUUAUUCCAUGGUUUGGUAUAUCCAGAUAAAGACCAUACGUUUCUUAAAGAACUUGAUGCAUACUUGGCACUCCUUAACUCACUUCCUUUUACUCUGUUUCUUCCAGCAACACCCAACACAAUAUCAUGCAGCUGGUAGGCAUGCUGUAUUUUACUACUUAACAACUUGGUUAGCCUAUGGAUUCCAGCUUUUCAGAGUGCUUGCUUUUUAAAAAUAUUUGACACUAACAUAUUUGAAAUACCCCAUCUUCCCUUAUAACCAUUGGCAUUCUAGUUAGGAUACGUUCAGUACUGAUCCUGAGCUAUAUUACAAAGCUAUGCUUCUCUCUUUUUUUGGCCGCACCCAUGGCAUGCAGAAGUUCCUGGGCCGGGGAUUGAACCUGCACCACAGCAGUGACAAUGGCGGAUCCUCAAACCUCUGAACCUCCAGGGAACUCGAACAUUAUCCACUUAUAUCAGACCUAAAUAUAGAAAAAUAUUUCAGGGGCAGAGGAUGAAGUUUUUCCUUGCUAAAUUUUAUCUUUCUCUGUGAGCGCUGCUAGUUUGCAUGCCUGGUUUAUGUCGUAAAAUAUUUUAGUGCUUAUUAUAGCAUCUUAACUCCCUAAGAUUUACCAAGGACAAAUGUGAUCUUAAUAUUAUAUUGUAUUUCAUUUCGCAGGUUUGUUUCAUAACCUCAAUAGUUAUUUCUAUUUGCAAUUCAGUUUCCUUUCUAAAUGUGUUAAUAAAACACUCGCAUUAAGAUUGGCUCGACUCCAGAAUCUGAUACGGUCAUUCUUCAAGUAAGUGAUAAAACUCGUGACAAUAUAGCACUUGGAGAUCUUUGGAUGCAUCCUAACUAUACAAGUGGGGAAACUCUUAGUUCCUUAUAGAGUUAAAUUAAGGUCAGACCUGGUUUCCGACACGAAGUUCAGAUGUAUUGGCAGAUCCCCAUGCUUGCAUUUAUUAUACUGUAAUUUGGGGCUUAAAGAGUUAUAUCCAGUCCAUCCCCAACAUCUGGAUAGUGUUUAUAACGAUCACAUUUGAUCCUAAUGUAAUUUUGUUGGGGAAUUCACUAGAAUUCCUCUGUUGGCUACAUUACAACUGAACAUGAGAUCUGCUAAAAUAUUACCCCAAACUAGUGAAUAUCCACAGAGAAUACAAAAAUAGAUAGAUUUCAUCCCCCUCCUCCCGCCUGCCACUAAGGCAUCAUGUUCAUCUAUCUGGGUUUCCUUGUCUCCAUUGAUAAAAAUGGGGGUAAGGCUUUAGCAGCAGCCAACAUUCAUCAAGGGUUUUGAACCUUGAAAAGCAGAGCAGGCACAAAAAUCUUUCAAGGAUGAUUACUGCACACGUGCAACCACAAUGGCAGCAUCAUAGACUCAACAGAUAGGGAUGACAUGAGCUUGGAGAUCUUUCCUUUCAUUUUCAUUUUGAUUUAGAUGCUAUUCCUUAGGGUUAGGAAAACAUCACUUGGAAAGUGGAGCCAAAGGAUUGAUCUUAACCACCCUCCCCCAUCAGAGGAAGCCCCAAAUGAAUCAAGUUGAACCUUUUAAGGGUUGUAAAGGGAGCCUUUAAUUAUAUGAGGGGGACAAGGGGGAGGGCACGUGGGAAGUUUGGCAAUGCAGUUUCAGGACCUCCCAGCCCUGCCAGCAGGAAGAUUAUUAGCAGAUUUCAUGUAAUUUGUGCAUAGCCAUGUACUCUUCCCAUGAAAUAAUUUUAAGAUGCAAAAAGACAGAUGAGAAAAGGAAAAGACAGAUAGGGAAGGACAGAGACUAUAACAGUCUUUAGAGAGGGAAAAUUAUUUCAUUAAAUCUAAACAGCAUAUGCUUUUCUGCUGUAUAGCAUAUGCAAGUCUAUGCAAAUUAUUUAAUAGCAGUGCACUCAGAGUAAUUUCCAUUUCCUCCCUCGCUUGUGAUGGGAAUAUUCCUUUUAAUCAGAUUAGAUGACAUCCUCUGCAAACUUUUAGGGGUUUCAACUUAAUUUACCAUGCUAAGUAGUUAGGGUAAUUUGAAAUAAAGCAAUCAGUGGGCUGAAAUGAAGCCAAACCUCAUUUCUGUCUUUGAGAUGAGGAGCUGGCCGGCUGUGUGAGCCCCACAGGACUUCUUUCCUCUCCUCUCCUCUCCCUGCUCCCCAGCACCCGAUACCUCAGCAGAGUUACUAAUGGCCAGUUCCUCGUUUUGAUGGCACCUAGUCAGAUCUGUUUCCCAUCCACAGAGCUUGCUUGCAAUGCUGCAUUCCAUUGGCCCUCUCUUGGCUGUCACGAUUUAUGGUGCUGCCUCAAGCAAUGAUGGAAAGAUGAAUUCACACUCCUUAAAAACUUUUUCACCAGGGGAGGUCGUGGACUCCUGAAGGGGUCUUUAAAAUGCUCUGAAGGGGCCCUGCAGAUACUCCCAGUCUAGAGGUUCUGGAGAAAGGGAGCAACAUCCAGUCCAGUACCAUGGAUGGGCAAGGAGAGUCCUGUCGGGGAAGAAUUCAUGGGGGACACACACCUGAAGGUGACAGCCUCUUAUCUAUGGGGCCUGUGCUGUGGGAGUAGUGCCUUGUGAAACUAUGAAGCUUGCCUUGGGGUGUUGCUCACAGUCGUGUGGUCUUUGUGUCUCACCAUUCCAGGGGAUGCCAUUGUCUAGCCAUCAUGGGACGAUCUGGACUGUUGAUAUCUACAGUUGUCCAGCAGAUGGCAGUAAAGGGUCUUGAGGAGAGAAUUACUUUUAAAUUACAACAACCUGCAGUUUAGACUAGACAAGAGGCUGCUUGGCUUUCCUUUCCACUGGUCCUCUGUUUUAUGGGUGGUGGUGUUUGGGGAAGGGAAAGAUUUUAAUUGCUUAAAUGAAUUCCCUGAAAAGUGUUAGCAGAUGAGGUUUAAACAUCAUCGGUACCAAGGCUGCUAGGGAUUUACUAGCCACUGGGAUAUAAAAGAGAAAUUUAAUGGUGAAAUUUCAUGUACCAAGACAAGUAGUAAAAGUUCCUUUCCUUCUUUUUUCUUCACAUCCACCUUCCCCUCAUGGUAAUGCCUCAGCCGGGGUCUUGAUUUUGAGGCACUGAGAUCUGCUCCCUGUGGCAUAGAGAGGCGUUCCUCAUUAAAGGUUUGUUUACAACCUUUGGAUGUGGCAGGGAUGGAAAAGAACAGGCUGCAAUCAAUUAACUCUUUAAAAAUAGGACAUCAUAUAACCAAAGCCAGUCCCUUUCUCCAUGCAGGGAGGAAAUCAGGGGUAGGGUUUUCUGAUCGCCUACUGCGUUUUUCCAUCCCUCGUUUCCCUUAAACCAGAGGCAACCCUUAAAGCAGUGAUCAUUUCCCCCAUUUCACAGAGAAGAGAACUUCAGGGAAGUUAAGGGACCCACAGGAAGUCUCUCGGUUAGCUUGUGGAUUCAGAUCUUAACCUGGCUGACCCCAAAACUCACCCUUGUGUCACUAGAGCACUCUACCACAUGACUACUAAAAAGGAGACCGAGGGAGAACUUCUUCCUUAUUAUUUUGCCUUUUUGUUGACUGGGUAAAAUACAUGCAUGAUAAAUUCAAAGACAUAGUCACAGAUAGGUUUCUGUCCUUUCACGCCUCCUUCCCCAGCCAUAUUCCCACUACCUACCACAGUCAAAGUUUCCUAUGUAUUCUUUCAGAAAUAUUUUAUGCUUUUAUAAACAUAUACAUAUAUAUUCUUUUUUUUCCCCUCAUGUAAAAGGUAGCACACUAUACAUAGUUGCUUCUGUCUUUUUUCACUUAAUAAUGUAUCCUGGAAGUGAGCUAAAUAAUUCUUUUUAACAGCAGCUGAGUUGGGAAUACUUUCCAUUGUAUGUUUGUACCAUAAUUUUAUUUAGCUGAAAUUGAUUUAUUUAACUGAUGUAUUUGUUUAACUGAGAUUGAUGAACCCAACAGAAGUUAUAUUGUCAAAUGACUAUAUUCCUGUCAGUGUAGCCAGCCUUUACAAAUAUCUUUUUUUUUUUUGUCUUUUUGCCUUUUCUAGGGCCGCUCCCAUGGCAUAUGGAGUCGGAUUCGUUAACCCGGGAACUCCCUUUACAAAUAUCUUGAUAGGGAGUUCCCGUCGUGGCGCAGUGGUUAACGAAUCCGACUAGGAACCAUGAGGUUGCGGGUUCGGUCCCUGCCCUUGCUCAGUGGGUUAACGAUCCGGCGUUGUCGUGAGCUGUGGUGUAGGUUGCAGACGCGGCUCGGAUCCCGCGUUGCUGUGGCUCUGGCGUAGGCCGGCGGCUACAGCUCCGAUUGGACCCCUAGCCUGGGAACCUCCGUAUGCCGUGGGAGGGGCCCAACAAAAGGCAAAAAGACAAAAAAAAAAAAAAAAAAAAAAA